AGAGCGAACGCUGGCGGCAGGCUUAACACAUGCAAGUCGAGCGGGCAUAGCAAUAUGUCAGCGGCAGACGGGUGAGUAACGCGUGGGAACGUACCUUUUGGUUCGGAACAACACAGGGAAACUUGUGCUAAUACCGGAUAAGCCCUUACGGGGAAAGAUUUAUCGCCGAAAGAUCGGCCCGCGUCUGAUUAGCUAGUUGGUGGGGUAAUGGCCCACCAAGGCGACGAUCAGUAGCUGGUCUGAGAGGAUGAUCAGCCACAUUGGGACUGAGACACGGCCCAAACUCCUACGGGAGGCAGCAGUGGGGAAUAUUGGACAAUGGGCGCAAGCCUGAUCCAGCCAUGCCGCGUGAGUGAUGAAGGCCCUAGGGUUGUAAAGCUCUUUUGUGCGGGAAGAUAAUGACGGUACCGCAAGAAUAAGCCCCGGCUAACUUCGUGCCAGCAGCCGCGGUAAUACGAAGGGGGCUAGCGUUGCUCGGAAUCACUGGGCGUAAAGGGUGCGUAGGCGGGUC
rnacentral:rRNA from 1 species